rnacentral:misc_RNA from 1 species
UUUGGGACUGCCGCCACAG